GCCAUAUUUACGGAGUUACGUAGGCUUGAAUUUCAAGGUCAUCAGCCCGAGCACCUAUAAUUUUCGCCAAAAUUGGUAUGCAGGUUUUCAGGGGUGCUGAAGAACUUGAUUUCGAUGCCGGCGGCGGUGACGACAGUGCGCCGGCGCACAUCUCUAUGGAGGUGGACACGGCGACCCGUGGACGACCGCCGCUGCCGCGGUUUGCUACAGGUGGCCAUGGCCACUAAUCUGUUGGAGGAGGCGCCCCCGGCACAGGUCCCAACCGCCGGAGACGCGGCAGAGACCGGGCAGUGGGCUGGCUUCCAGUCGCAAUGCGACGCGGUCGUGACAGCGUCUCAGUGCACAGGAGCCGCGGCUGUGGACGAUUGUUGAGAGACGGCGCGGGGCACCGAUAGAAGCUUGUCUGCUGGGCAUCAAAUCCUGUCUGCUGGUGGUAUAUAUGUAAUGCCGCGUAGCCCGGUGUCCGUGAUGAUCUUUUAAGGCUGAGCUAAGCUACACUAAGCGUGACCGUCCAGGAAACUAAAAAGCACCCACGUGUACUGCGUGCUCGUGCUCACUGGAUUUCCUUGAUACCGGCUUCUACGAUUAUCCAUAUUUUCCUUGAGCUACCGUAUGCCCACAUAAGCGUGAUAACGAGCGAGUGCCAUGCCGAUAAUACGAUAUGUAUGAA
rnacentral:lncRNA from 1 species